CCCCAACCCCCCUCCCUCGAGAGGCCAGGGGCUUCUUCCUCAAGGAGCAGGAACCGGCCACCGGGGCUGCCACCGCCUCCCUGGUGGCGGAAGCCAGAGAUCUGGGAUUCCACUGAGGCCUCAAAAGGAUUUGUCAGAUGAGAAAGAUCCAAAUAAAACCAGAGGAAACUCCUCUUUGCAGCCGGAAGCUGGUCGGUCUUCCUUACCAGUCCCAUCCUCCAAGGCCUUGUUAAACCACCGCAGCGAAGCUCUUUUUUCCAAAUCUAGAUCUUCGGCAGUGAUGGAGUAGCCAAGCUGGGGAGGUGGGGGCUGCCAGAGAGAAAGACGAGAGGCCCAUCAGGGAAGCUGGAAGAAACCUGUAUGGAGCUACCCUAGAACUUGGGGAUGCCGAGCUGGGGUGGGCGGGUGUGGACAGACAAAGCCAUACCAGGGUCAGCCGAGCCCCUCGCCGGGAGGGUAGAAGCUGAAUCUUUCGCUUCCGCUGCCCAGAGCUGCCAGGUGUGGGAGGGGAGCUCCACGAGUUCUGCGCCUUCCAUGUGGUUGUAUCUGCAGCUAAAGAAACAACAUGGACUUGUUUUCUUCCUCCUCUUCCAGAAAUGGCCAAGUUUGUCUAUCCACUUGGUUUUUAACACUGAAUUCUCACUGGUUAUGUCUGAAAGAUUUGGUCUUCCGUGGAUGGGGUCUUGGAGAGUUUGCAGGACGGUUUCUGCCAGGAGGGUAUCAAGAUAACUGCUCCAAACACAGGCAUACAAGUGCUUACUGACAGUAGUCACCCAGGCUGCUCAGAGGCCCCCACCAGCGCUCAUCGCCAGCCCACAGAUCCACUGGCCGGGGCCGUAGCUGCCUGUGCCACAGACCACAGACCUCUGCACCUACCAGGUCCUGCACACAGCGAUGCUCAGCGCAUGCUUCCGGAUGAGCAGGGGUCUCACAUGCUCCAUAAACACUCCCACCACCAGAAGCCACUCCUGCGCGCUUCACAACCUACCCUUUUCUCCCUGGGCCUCCUUGUCUGUUGCCAAAGGAGUUGAAGAACUGGAGCGGUGAGAAAGCUCGUCCUCUCUGAGGGCAGAAGAGGCAGAGGCGCAUUUAGAAAGACUUCCUGAUACAGAGUAUCGGGUAACUACUUACAGCCUCGUAACUACCAACCCUGCCAAAGUCUAGAACAACUGUGAUUUAAGAUCACAGGCCAGGACAAAAAAUAAGAGAAAUCAAAAGGAAAUUCCUACAAAACGAAGGGAGAAGUUCAUGGAAGCCACGGAGAAACCUCUGUCUCACAACAAGCACGGAACGAGAACCUUCACAACCUUACUUACACCUCGCCCAGUUCCUGAGAGCUGUAGCCACAGAGCUGACCCCUAAGAGCAGCAGUCUAGUCGCCUGUUGGUGCCUGGAGAUCAGCUGGGGUCCAGAACAUGAACUCUCCUGCCCCUGCCAUGAUUCUCUGUGCCCCCUCUACCCUGUGGCCUUUGCGUUCACACCCCAGUCGCCUGUGCUGCAGGAUGAGGAAGAGAGCCAGAGCCUCCAGGGUCAGCACAGAAGACAUUUAAGAGGCGAGAGCAGUUUGGGCAGGUACUUCACUGUCCUUCUGGAUGGCAAUCUUGGAUCCUCCGGAUCGGAGCCGCAGGAGGCCUAACAGCCAAGUACGUGUGCUUCCUUUCCUGCCCUCUCAUUAGUCUGCAGUGCAAACAAGGACCCGUUACCUUAUUUUCUUUGCUGGCCUCUCUGGUGUCUGCGAGCGGGAUGAGGCUGGGCUGGAAAACGGUGACAAGCUGGGCCCGCUUCUCUUCCAAAGCUAAAAGGCAAAAAGCAGUGACAUGAUUACCCUACUGGACAGCGUGACAUCCACCUUCAAUACAACUUUGUAUUCUGUUCAUCGCCA